GAUGAACGCUAGCGGCAGGCCUAAUACAUGCAAGCCGAGGGGCAGCAUCAGCUUCGGCUGGAUGGCGACCGGCGAACGGGUGAGUAACGCGUACGGAAUCUGCCCCGGACAGGGGGAAAAGCACUGGAAACGGUGUCUAAUACCCCAUGGUUCCUUUGAGAGGCAUCUCUUGGAGGAUAAAGAAUUUCGGUCCGGGAUGAUCGUGCGUUGGAUUAGCUAGUUGGUAGGGUAGAAGCCUACCAAGGCAACGAUCCAUAGGGGGCGUGAGAGCGUGGUCCCCCACACGGGUACUGAGACACGGACCCGACUCCUACGGGAGGCAGCAGUAAGGAAUAUUGGGCAAUGGAUGCAAGUCUGACCCAGCCAUGCCGCGUGAGCGAUGAAGGCCCUACGGGUCGUAAAGCUCUUUUAUAUGGGAUGAAAAAGCAGCUCGUGAGCUGUCGUGACCGUACCAUAGGAAUAAGGACCGGCUAACUCCG
rnacentral:rRNA from 1 species